rnacentral:misc_RNA from 1 species
GAUGAAGAACGUAGCGAAAUGCGAUAAGUAAUGUGAAUUGCAGAUUCCAGUGAAUCAUCGAAUCUUUGAACGCACAUUGCGCCCGCCAGCAUUCUGGCGGGCAUGCCUGUUCGAGCGUCAUUUCAACCCUCGACCUCCCUUUGGGGAAGUCGGCGUUGGGGACCGGCAGCACACCGCCGGCCCUGAAAUGGAGUGGCGGCCCGUCCGCGGCGACCUCUGCGUAGUAAACCAACUCGCACCGGAACCCCGACGUGGCCACGCCGUAAAACACCCAACUUCUGAACGUUGACCUCGAAUCAGGUAGGACUACCCGCUGAACUUAAGCAUAUCAAUAAGCGGAGGA